AUUGAACGCUGGCGGCAGGCCUAACACAUGCAAGUCGAGCGGUAACAGGAAGUAGCUUGCUACUUCGCUGACGAGCGGCGGACGGGUGAGUAAUGCCUGGGAAUAUACCUUUUUGUGGGGGACAACUCGGGGAAACUCGAGCUAAUACCGCAUGUGCUCUUUGGAGUAAAGCUGGGGACUUUCGGGCCUGGUGCAAAAAGAUUAGCCUGCGUCCGAUUAGCUAGUUGGUAGGGUAAAGGCCUACCAAGGCGACGAUCGGUAGCUGGUCUGAGAGGAUGAUCAGCCACACUGGGACUGAGACACGGCCCAG
rnacentral:rRNA from 1 species